rnacentral:rRNA from 1 species
AUUGAACGCUGGCGGCAGGCUUAACACAUGCAAGUCGAGCGGUAACAGAGAGAAGCUUGCUUCUCUGCUGACGAGCGGCGGACGGGUGAGUAAUGCCUAGGAAUCUGCCUAGUAGUGGGGGAUAACUUGCCGAAAGGUAAGCUAAUACCGCAUACGUCCUACGGGAGAAAGGAGGGGACCUUCGGGCCUUUCGCUAUUAGAUGAGCCUAGGUCGGAUUAGUUAGUUGGUGAGGUAAUGGCUCACCAAGACCGCGAUCCGUAACUGGUCUGAGAGGAUGAUCAGUCACACUGGGACUGAGACACGGUCCAGACUCCUACGGGAGGCAGCAGUGGGGAAUAUUGGACAAUGGGGGGGAACCCUGAUCCAGCCAUGCCGCGUGUGUGAAGAAGGUCUUAGGAUUGUAAAGCACUUUAAGUUGGGAGGAAGAGCAGUUAACUAAUAUUUGACUGUUUUGACGUUACCGACAGAAUAAGCACCGGCUAACUUCGUG